AUUGAACGCUGGCGGCAUGCCUUACACAUGCAAGUCGAACGGCAGCACGGGAGCAAUCCUGGUGGCGAGUGGCGAACGGGUGAGUAAUAUAUCGGAACGUGCCCAGUAGUGGGGGAUAGCCCGGCGAAAGCCGGAUUAAUACCGCAUACGACCUGUGGGUGAAAGCGGGGGAUCGCAAGACCUCGCGCUAUUGGAGCGGCCGAUAUCAGAUUAGCUUGUUGGUGGGGUAAAAGCCCACCAAGGCGACGAUCUGUAGCUGGUCUGAGAGGACGACCAGCCACACUGGGACUGAGACACGGCCCAGACUCCUACGGGAGGCAGCAGUGGGGAAUUUUGGACAAUGGGCGCAAGCCUGAUCCAGCCAUGCCGCGUGUGGGAAGAAGGCCUC
rnacentral:rRNA from 1 species